rnacentral:rRNA from 1 species
AUUGAACGCUGGCGGCAUGCCUUACACAUGCAAGUCGAACGCGAAAGCGGAGCAAUCCGCAAGUAGAGUGGCGAACGGGUGAGUAAUACAUCGGAACAUUUCCAGUAGCGGGGGAUAACCUGUCGAAAGAUAGGCUAAUACCGCAUACGCCCUACGGGGGAAAGCGGAGGACCGCAAGGCUUCGCACUAUUGGAGUGGCCGAUGUCGGAUUAGCUAGUUGGCGGGGUAAAAGCCCACCAAGGCUACGAUCCGUAGCUGGUCUGAGAGGACGAUCAGCCAAACUGGAACUGGGACACGGUCCAGGCUCCUACGGGAGGCAGCAGUGGGGAACUUUGGACAAUGGGCGCAAGCCUGAUCCAGCCAUGCCGCGUGAGUGAAGAAGGCCUUCGGGUUGUAAAGCUCUUUCGGUGGGGACGAAACGGUUCGUGCUAAUACCAUGAACUAAUGACGGUACCCGAAGAAGAAGCACCGGCUAACUACGUGCCAGCAGCCGCCGUAA